CGCAGGGGAGAGCGCGAGCCUCCGAGGCGCCGAGAGCGACGGCCACCGGGCAGAGCCGGGCGCCGCGUGCAGAGCGAGCGCGGCGGGCGCGCGUCCCGGGCAGCCCCACGCCUCCGCCUCGCGCGCUGCCCGCGCCAUGAAGCACAUCCCCGUUCUCGAGGACGGGCCGUGGAAGACCGUGUGCGUGAAGGAGCUGAACGGCCUCAAGAAGCUCAAGCGGAAAGGCAAGGAGCCGGCGCGGCGCGCGAAUGGCUAUAAAACUUUCCGACUGGACUUGGACGUGCCCGAGCUAGGCGCCGCGGCCACCAACGGGCUGCGGGACAGGACCCAGCGGCUGCAGCCGGUCCCGACCCCGGUGCCAGCCGCAGUGGCGCCGGCCGUCCCCUCAGGUGGAGGCCCGGACACUGCUGGGGAGCGCGGGGGCGCCCGGGCGCCAGAGGUCUUGGACGCGCGGAAACGCGGCUUCUCCCUGGGCGCUGUGGGUCCGGGACUCCCCACGCCGCCGCCGCCGCCUCCAGCACCCCAGGGCCAGGUACCUGGGGGUCCGGAGGUACAGCCUUUCCGGGAACCCGGCCUGCGUCCCCGCAUCUUGCUGUGCGCACCGCCUGCCCGCCCAAUGCCUUCCGCGCCCCCUGCGCCCCGGGAGACCUCCGUGCGCCCUGCGCCCCCCACGCGCCCCGGGGAAAGUUCCUACUCGUCAAUUUCACACGUAAUUUACAAUAACCAUCCGGAUUCCUCCGCGUCGCCUAGGAAACGGCCCGGCGAAGCCACGACCGCCUCCUCGGAGAUCAAAGCCCUGCAGCAGACCCGGAGGCUCCUGGCGAACGCCCGGGAGCGGACGCGGGUGCACACCAUCAGCGCAGCCUUCGAGGCGCUGCGGAAGCAGGUGCCGUGUUACUCAUACGGGCAGAAGCUAUCCAAACUGGCCAUCCUGAGGAUCGCCUGCAACUACAUCCUGUCCCUGGCCCGGCUGGCUGACCUCGACUACAGCGCCGACCGCAGCAACCUCAGCUUCUCCGAGUGUGUGCAGCGCUGCACCCGCACCCUGCAGGCUGAGGGACGUGCCAAGAAGCGCAAGGCAGACUCUCCUGGCUCACCAGGGGCUCUGGCCGUAACUUCGCAGCUCGCAGACGCCUGAGACCUCCACCGGCCCUCCCAGCCUGGACACAGUGUGAUCCUUGAUUCACGCCAUGUUCCUGCCCUCCGCACACAGCGGCCAACUCCAGCUGCUCAUAAAUUUUCUGCCUGUCACCCAUGGCGCCCAGGCCAGGCGGGGCGGGAGGCGCUGGGGGUGGCCCGGCCGUACCUGCUUCCAGCUCCCUGGGAAGUGUGGAGGCUGGAAGCCCGAGCCUGCGCUGGUGCCCAGAAUAACCUCAGCGAAGCCGGGCCCUCCGAGAAGAUGUGGACGCAGAUCUGCCAAAUGCAAAGAUGCAUGGGCUGCUGGGGAACACAUAAACACCAGCUCACGGCGCGGUUUGCACGGCAUAAGUCUACUUCCAUCAAAUACCGCUUCGGUGAUGUCGCAGAGGGAAAGGGGCACCCACCCGGUGCUGUCAGUGGUUUCCUCUUGAUGGGGAGAUCGAGGAGUGACUGGCCCUGCGCUGGACCAAGGACAUCCUGUGGGCCCUCUUUCCAGUCGAGCCCGAGGAGAAGGGAGCUCGCCAAGUCCAGCCUCGUCUUCUUCAAGGUGCCGCCCGAUGCUCAGACCACUGCCUCUCAGGGUCAGACAGGAACACGCUGCCUCCCUCUCACCCUCCCGCCCUCCCGGCCACUCCACGGUGACUGCACUUUGCCCUCUGCCUGGCGGGGAGGGGAGAGCUCAGCCUCCCUCUUGCCUGGGGCCCGAGGCCCACCUUCCGGCUGCAGCAAUUCAUUGCCAAAGACACCACAGAGACACUGAGCAAGACGUGGUGAGGAAACCCCACGGAGAAAAGCCUCACUGGUGCCCUGUGUCCUGUGCCCUCCUGGUGCCCGCUUCCAUCUCAAGCCAAAGACGAGUCAGCAGUUCCACCAGAACUCAUGGAAAGGAGGGACGUUUGGUGACCACUGGGUGCACCUGACCUUCUGACCUGGACCCUUCUUUCUACACUGAGCCCUGAGCUAGUGGGGUUCAAGAUAAGCCCCCGGGGGUGUGAGAGGCAGGCUAGGGUGCCUGUCGGGAGUGGGAUCUGAGAUCCCGGCCCCCUUCUCUCCCUCUAACCGGCUGCCCAGGCCUCGACCCUGAUUCUCAAUGUUUCCUGGGUCCAGGCUUCUCUUCUUGGGCUCUGAGCACCAUGGGAAGGGGGGACACGGGGAAAAGAAGCAACAUUGACCACCCUAUACCCCACCCCAGGGACCUGCUCAAGGAGACCUGCCUAGGGGGUCUUUGCUCCCCAGCCAACACUUCCUGGCCGGGCAAAGGAGAUGGCGCCUGCUUGGAGGCCAGUGUUCUCUUACUAGUUACGCAGGGGGCCGAGGGAGGAAGGGACCAGCGGAAUGGGCCAGUAUGUGGGGGAGUGGGCAUGUGUAACGCCAAGGCCUUCUCCUUUCUUUGCUCAAAUGGCCAAAGCUGUUCAUAUCUGUGCUCAACCGUCUGCUUCAAAUUGAAGUAAAAGCCCCAACGUGUAAAGAAAA